GGAGGGUUUCCCGAGCGGCCAAAGGGGGCAGACUGUAAAUCUGCUGGCUACGCCUUCAGUAGUUCGAAUCUACUACCCUCCACCA
rnacentral:tRNA from 1 species